rnacentral:sRNA from 1 species
UUAAAAGCCUGGGAUGCUAAAGUCGUCAAAUAUCCUGCAGGACAGGUACAGCAUGACAAGAGGCACCACACGUGCCUCCCCAAAAAUGCCUUUACACGCUGUAAUUUGCAAAGGUACCUCAGUAGGGACUGAAGGGUAGUUCAGAUUUCAUGGUCUAUUUUGAAACAAUUGGCUAAC